rnacentral:misc_RNA from 1 species
GAUGAAGAACGCAGCGAAAUGCGAUAAGUAAUGUGAAUUGCAGAAUUCAGUGAAUCAUCGAAUCUUUGAACGCACAUUGCGCCCGCCAGUAUUCUGGCGGGCAUGCCUGUUCGAGCGUCAUUUCAACCAUCAAGCCCCCGGCUUGUGUUGGGGACCUGCGGCUGCCGCAGGCCCUGAAAAGCAGUGGCGGGCUCGCUGUCACACCGAGCGUAGUAGCAUACAUCUCGCUCUGGGCGUGCUGCGGGUUCCGGCCGUUAAACCACCUUCAUAACCCAAGGUUGACCUCGGAUCAGGUAGGAAGACCAGCUGAACUUAAGCAUAUCAAUAAGCGGAGGA